rnacentral:rRNA from 1 species
AUACGGAGGAUGCGAGCGUUAUCCGGAUUUAUUGGGUUUAAAGGGUGCGCAGGCGGCCAUUUAAGUCAGCGGUUAAAUCGUGGGGCUCAACCCCAUUCUGCCGUUGAUACUGGGUGGCUUGAUUGCGGUCGAGGUUGGCGGAAUUCGUUGUGUAGCGGUGAAAUGCAUAGAUAUGACGAAGAACACCGAUUGCGAAGGCAGCUGACCAGACCGCAAAUGACGCUCAUGCACGAAAGUGCGGGGAUCGAACAGGAUUAGAUACCCUGGUAGUCCGCACAGUAAACGAUGAAUACUUGUUUUCGGCGAUAUAAUGUCGGAGGCAAAGCGAAAGCGAUAAGUAUUCCACCUGGGGAGUACGCCGGCAACGGUGAAACUCAAAUGAAUUGACGGGG